UCGGUCCCGAGUAGAGUGGCGCACGGGUGAGUAACGCGUAAGUGAUCUACCCCUGUAUCUGGGAUAACUGUGGGAAACUGCAGCUAAUACCGGAUACGUUCAUGUAGUUGCGAUUAUGUGAAGAAAGAUGGCCUCUGAUUCAAGCUAUUGUACAGGGAGGAGCUUGCGUACCAUUAGCUAGUUGGUAGGGUAAUGGCCUACCAAGGCAACGAUGGUUAGCGGGUCUGAGAGGAUGAUCCGCCACACUGGAACUGAAACACGGACCAGACUCCUACGGGAGGCAGCAGUGAGGAAUAUUGCGCAAUGGGGGCAACCCUGACGCAGCGACGCCGCGUGGAUGAUGAAGGCCUUCGGGUCGUAAAAUCCUGUCAGAUGGGAAGAAGUGUGUGGUGGUUAAUACCCGCCGCAUUUGACGGUACCAUCAGAGGAAGCACCGGCUAACUCCGUGCCAGCAGCCGCGGUAAUACGGAGGGUGCAAGCGUUGUUCGGAAUUACUGGGCGUAAAGCGCGCGUAGGCGGCUUGUUAAGUCAGAUGUGAAAGCCCAAGGCUCAACCUUGGACGUGCAUUUGAAACUGGCAGGCUUGAGUAUUGGAGGGGGUGGUGGAAUUCCCGGUGUAGAGGUGAAAUUCGUAGAUAUCGGGAGGAAUACCGGUGGCGAAGGCGACCACCUGGCCAAAUACUGACGCUGAGGUGCGAAAGCGUGGGGAGCAAACAGGAUUAGAUACCCUGGUAGUCCACGCCGUANACGAUGAGAACUAGGUGUUGGGACGGUUGAUCGUCUCANUGCCGCAGCUAACGCAUUAAGU
rnacentral:rRNA from 1 species